AAUAAAUUAAUUUUAAAAAAAACGGUAAAAAGACUUGGGCGGCUAUUUGCCGACACUCGUCCGCAAAGGGUUAAAACUAACGAUUUAGUUAUUCUGUUAAUAGACCGACGAUGUACGGUUCCCGUUGACGUCAGAAAGCUGUCGAUAACUGUACAGUCAAGCCCAUCGCUAGUCGAAGGAUAGACAAAAAAGCUCUUGAAAGUAAUCCCGCGUAAGCGGGAGGGGACCGCGUUUCGAGCAUAUCAAACGGCAAAUAUAAAAAGUGAGAGGAAAACGGUAAUUGAGCGAGUAACGUGCGUUUCUUUUUCUGUUUCGAUAGCAAGCGCGACGCGGGGUUACAGCGUUUUCACAGAAACUGCUAGAAAACGCUGUAUCCGCAAGAAACGCGAGCAUGAUUCCCGGCCAGGGUUAUCCUCGCCGAUUCGUUUCGUCCAUCGGUGUCGUAGAUACACGUAGCUGCUGUGAGCAAGUCGUUACCGAGAGAAAGCGAGCGAGCGAGCGAGAGAAAGAGAGAGAGAGAGAGAGAGAGAGAGAGAGAGAGAGAGAGAGAGAGUGAGAAAGAGAGCCACAAAGGGGAGAGAGAAUUAACAAAAUAAUGUAUAAAGGACAGCGUUGUUUUGUGGCAGCGUCGCGGAUUCGAUUAGCCCGCUGCCAUCCUUUUGGGAGCGACGAACGAACGUCCGUUCGCUUAGCUGUUAAGCCCCGCGGAAGUUGCCUCGAUAACGUUGACUGCCAGAUGAAUUACUAUCUUUUUCGUUUCUAUCCCGAAACUCGGGCAUGCUCGUUUCAUUCCGUGUCGGUACCUGCGAGCGAUAUCAAUUAAGCUUGAGAAAUUCGAUGUAUGCAUCUCGAAAUUCGUCGAUGAUGAUAGGGUACAGGUAUAGUUUUCUAAAAUGUUUAGCAUGAAAGUGUCUUUUUACUCGAUCCGGGCGACGUUUGCUUGAACGAUUAACGAAAACCCGGUCGUAGAAACCAUUCGUACUGUACAAAAUUUCACUGUUAGCCCGGAUACGGAAAAGAACGUCUGCAGUUUCAUUUCGUGAGAUCUGUUCUAUUCGGUUCGUUCGUGUUAGAAAUAUCGUAGGGAAACGCUCCAACGUAUCCGGGUUCGGAAGAUGUAACCAAAAUAUAUAUAUAGAUAUAUAUAAACGUUUCGACCAUCCAAGCCGUUCCGAUUCUGUCGUCCCGGGAUGGACGACAAUGGCAGUCAAUCCAUUAAACGCAUGUUCUUUUGAACAAUCUAAACAAAAAAAAAAGAAAAUCGUUUCUAUCACUGUUUCGACGCUAAUUACUGUACAGUAUUUUCCCUCGUUACUUGUUGCCCCCUGUAAUCACCUUCUCCGAUUACAGGGAAUAAAUAAAUCGAAGAUUAUCGAUCGCGUAGCCGAGAGAGAGAGAGAGAGAGAGAGAGAGAGAGAGAGAGAGAGAGAAAUGCCGUUGAUCCCUCGAUAUAUGAGACUCGCAGAAUUCAACCGCGACUAGCGUAUAACGAGGGAAUUACUUCUGAACGCGUGUUCGAUCGCGCGAUCUUCCGAUCUAGAGGAAAACGAAGACACAAGGAGUUUUAGAUCGCAGCGCAGAAAAUUCUUCGUCGUUCCUGAAACGAAAUAUGUAGUCUUACCUUACUUCGGGCUUCGUCCCGUCGUUAGUCUCUUUAAUAGCGUUUAAUAUUAUCGAAUUAUUCGUUCCAACGCACACUUUCGUGGCGUCAGACGAUCUCCUCGAGCAUGAAUCGGUGUCGGGCGUCCUGUCCUCGCGAGGAGAGUGAGUUGUGUCGUUAGCGUACCACAGUAAAUUCUUCCUAAUUUAACCCUCUCAGUUAGUACACAAAAAUGGACGAUUUGGGAAGAGGAGACAUAAUCACGAUUAGUCGAGUCUUGCGACACGUUUUCAUAUUUACCGAUGGUCAACAACUAUACAAGCGAGCCGCAAGCCUCUUCCCAAAUUGUUCAUUUUUGUCUCCAAGCUGAGGAUCAAUUAAGAACAAUUUGCUGUAUAUUGGAUCACUGAUUACAGUUUCAACGAAUUGAAAGCUAUAAUUUGGAAGCAACGAAUUGUUUCGCGCAUUGUCAAAGAUUUUUCAAAGCUUAGAAACUCUUGUACUUAAUUCCAUUGUAAUCUGUACAAUUGAGGAACUACGUUAAAUCCUCUGCAAUUGUACCCUCGGCUUGUAAACAAAUAUGGACAAUUGGAGAGGAUUUUCUGUAUCUCAGAAUAUUGACUCGAAUCGAGUAUAGGUCGUCUCGUGGUGACGACGUAGUACCUUCUGUCCAUAAACUGUUAUUGCAUAGCGACUAUAGUUGAUAAUGGACCUCAACGUACAGACUAUCGAAAGUAGGCCGUGCAGCUGCGACUAUUAUCGAUAAUGGGGCACAGUUAAUUGUCUGGUGCCUCGUUCCGAUAUUCAGAUAGCGAUCGCAAUCGUUUUCAUUCGCAGACUAUAUUAAACAGAGGCCCUAUCGCGACGAUCGUUGAUAACAGAACACUGUAGACUGGCUCUGUCGAUAAUGACAGUGGCUAUAUUCAGAAUAUGAAUCGAGUCGGUGCUGUUUCGUAGGUUGUUCAAACUAUUUAGGUUGAGUAAUAAGUCCGUUUGCGUUUUCUUAUUAUACAAUUUCAGGCUAAUCUACCCUGUCUUGAAGCAGACACUGUCGUUUAAGCUAAAUUGCAUAGAAAUAACUCUACGGGAACGUAUCUUAAAAUUCAUCCGAACUUCUCCUUUUAAGUCUUGUAAAUUCCACGAUACCAGGGGUCGAUUCAUUUUAAUUUCGCAAAAUGAUCACGUUAUUCCAUUGCAAUAUAAUCUAACCUGUAUUAAAAUAGAUACUUUCAGCUUUCGUUUAAGCUAAGUCGCGUAGAAAUAACCCCACGAGAACGUAUUUUAAAAUCCAUCCGAACUUCUCCUUUCAAAUCUUAUAAACCCCAUGAUGUCCGAGGUUGAAUCAAUUUAAUUUCUCAAAACGAUCUCGUUAUUCCAUUGCAAUAUGAUCUACCCUGUAUUAAAAUAGACACCUUCAGCUUUCGUUUAAGCUAAGUCGCAUAGAAAUAGACCCACGAGAACGCAUCUCAAAGUUCAUCUGAACUGUCGCUUUGAGUUCGUGUAAUUUUCCUUGCCUUUUCCUUGCAACGUUCAACGAGAACUGGCGUAAAAUGUAAACAGAACUGUCACGUGAUGCGUGCUGUGUGAUCACGUGAUCCGUGCCCGAAUAUUGUGAUUCGGUCCUGGCCCGAUCGCGCGUCGCUCGCGUGCACCUAGCUGUUUACAUUUUGUGCCAGUUCUCGUUGAAGUAUAGGUGUCAGAGGUCCGCGAACGGACUUAAUACAACAUAACCUAAUAUAAUACAAUAUUUAACGUUUCUCCUUUCUUCGGUUCGCGUUUCUUAAACGGAAAAUUUCGGAUAUCUUGCCGGAGGAAGUUGCAGACGAGUUGAAGCUGUAAUCAAUGACACCAAUGUAGCCAAUGUCUGUUAUAAUAACAUAUACAUAUGUAGAUCUGCUGGAUCCACAGAAGUAUUUUCAGAGCAACAAAGGAACAUAUCAGAUUCCCCGAUCAAUACCGAGACCCGAUCGAUGAAAGUAUCGUGGCGUCUGCAAAGGCGAUUCCGAGUCAGCUUCGCAGAAAUUACUGUACAGUCCGCUCCACGAAUCCAGGAUAACGAAAUUCUGCGACGCCGAAUAUGUGGUCGGAAUCGUGCCGCGAGACGUGCUCGCUCGUCGACGAACGACACAACAGUCGUCGAAAACGAACGGAAGAGACCUAACCGGGUGAAAUUAUCGUCGGCAAAAGGAUCGGAAUCGCUUCGACGACGUUGGAGAUGACUGGGAAAUGACGCGAAGCAUGGAGUGGGGGAACGAAAUCGAAAAGCAAAAUGGCGGCAGUCGGAGGAAGCGCGGGUUCCAACGAGCAAGUUUUGGGGGAGUCUCGCGGUUUGCGUUCGGUUUUUAAUCGAUCGCGCGACCCGUUACAUGGAAUAUUACGAGAAAUACUGGCACGCAUGCUCGAGGAGGGAGGUAACGCGCGGAAUUAAUUAAUCCUAACCGCGAUUUUACGGUUCGUGCCGGCCGAUGAGAAAGCUGAACACGAGGAGAGGAGAGAGAGAGAGAGAGAGAGAGAGACAUCGUCGAUCCAUUUAUCCGUUUUUUCGAGAACACGAAAACUUCGCCUUUUUUUCUACAGGCUCUCGCUGUCGAUCUUGCCGUUACUGCACACAUAUAUGGCAGGAUCGCGCGUUAUGCCAUCGAGGACGCGGAGGAAACCGUACAAUUUUACAGGCUGUUCCAUUUUCGUUCGCGAGAAAAUUCAUCGCUAAAAUACAUCGACUUCGAGGAAAUUAAUUCCUCGAUCUAAACAAAAAAAAACAGAAAAGAAUACAAGGCUCGUUCAAAGAGCCCUUUCGCUUGUUUUAAACGGUCUAUAUCUUUUUGUACAAAAUCGUGCGAAGAUACGUGCACACGUAUGCACGUGUUCGUGAAUGUAAAAUGGAGCAUCCGGCGCAGAUCGUUCUAAAAAUCGCAAUAACCCAGAUACAUGCUCCCUUUCCCCACGAAGGUACGCGUCUUCAAUUUUUUACUCUCACUUGUCUACAUAUUUAUCGAUUUCUCUUCGAAGUAACUCGAUCCCUCGGGUCCUCGGAUAAUCCAAUAUGGCGGCUGGAAGACGCUGGCUGUCGCGCCGGCAUAUCGCCCCCCCCCCCCGCACCGUCGUCCGCCAGACUUUUAACAGCGGCGCACAAACACCGCUCGAAGCAAUAUUCGAACCCUUCGAAGUGUCGAACGGCGAAUCUAAUUAAUCAUCGUUUGCCAAGCCGCUUUUCGACCCGCGUACAUCGCUCCGGUCGCACGCGAACCCACCGCUUUUCCCCGUGUUUCCCCAUCGAUUUAUUAUUUACAGGCAGAGAGCGCAGUUGAAAGCCGGGCUUCUCGCGUUGGGAAUGCAGCAGAGCGCGAUUUAUUUCUCGAUAGACCGUAAAACUUCGUUCGUUCAUCGAUUUUCAAUGAUUCCGGCGCGUUAAACGCUCGCAAAUAUCCGCGAUCCGAUCGAUCGUCGGUUAUACAGGGU